UACGUAGGGGGGCAAGCGUUUGUCCGGAUUUACUGGGCGUAAAGAGCGUGUAGGCGGCCACGCAGGUCCGUUGUGAAAACUGGAGGCUCAACCUUCAGACGUCGACGGAAACCGUGUGGCUAGAGUCCGGAAGAGGAGAGUGGAAUUCCUGGUGUAGCGGUGAAAUGCGCAGAUAUCAGGAAGAACACCAAUGGCGAAGGCAGCUCUCUGGGACGGUACUGACGCUGAGACGCGAAAGCGUGGGGAGCGAACAGG
rnacentral:rRNA from 1 species